rnacentral:rRNA from 4 species
UUAAAUUGAAGAGUUUGAUCAUGGCUCAGAUUGAACGCUGGCGGCAGGCCUAACACAUGCAAGUCGAACGGUAACAGGAAGAAGCUUGCUUCUUUGCUGACGAGUGGCGGACGGGUGAGUAAUGUCUGGGAAACU